rnacentral:lncRNA from 1 species
UGUGAUGUGUGUCUGGUGAGAGACAGGUCUGCUCUUCACCCACGUGUUGGCAGGAUGUAGGGUAGUGUGCUAAUUCCUGAUCCGACCACUGAGUCCUAACAGGACGCCAUUUCCAAUGACCCUGCAAGGUACGGUAGGUGCCCAGCAUUGGCUGUCUCAAUAGAGCAGGAUGGAGAUCCAGCGAGCCAAGCCUAGAUUUAAGGGUGUUUCAGAGUUUACAAAGCACAUUCAGAAACACACAGGAGGCCACCCUGAAAAAGGGAAAACGCAAACACAAGUACACUUACUAAAAGCAUGAAGCAAGGUCAAAGCAGGAAGCCGUGCUAUCAAGACCCUGAGGUCCUCGUCCAAGGCUAAUCGGUGAUAUUCUUACAGACUUGGGGAUGGUUGGAGAAUGGUUUGUUGAGGUUACCAGAAAGAAAGACCACCCCUAAAGCAAUCCACAUUCCCCCGAGAUCCUCCUCUACCAAGUGAAGAAAUGGAGAGGGCAUUCUAGCUGGCGUUACUAUAAGGGACCAUAGAAGUCAUAGAAGGUCAUAGAAGGGAGAAACUUGUACCAAGGGAGUUGGGUCCUUCUUGCAUCCAGACCAUGCGUCUCACACCUGUUAUUUUUAGCAGGAAGAAAUGGGACCUGAGCAUCAGGUAGAUGUCUCUGCUGGAACUUGGGGGAGCAGCAAAGCGUAGAAGAUGGGAAUGAGGAGGAAGAGGUCCUCGAAGCAGCUAUCUUGGAAGGAGGAAAAGAAGAGAAGUUGUCUUCCCACCUUUGAGUCUAUCAGGGUGAGAUCUGCUGUCUUUGGUUCCCCAUCAUUUAUUUUCAAAUAGCUAACCAAAGCAACCAACCAACAGAAAGAGAAAACAUUAAUUCAUUCCCUCUGCCUCCUGCACACCCCCCAAAGAAGAAUUAAUGUGAACUCUGCCAGAAGUGUGGGAAAGACAAAAAUUCCAUGUGGACCCUGCUACUGUGUGACCUAUGACCCCAAAGACCUUUGAGGGAACCUAUCUUCUCGUUCAGGAAUCUUCUUCCAGGAAACAGGGAUUUGUCUUUUCAGCCAUAGAGGAUUUGCGUGACCCUCAGUGGCAACAAUAGACCUGAUGGGAUGUUGGAAAGAAUAAUUUCUAAGUGUGUGGUUGGCAUUACAUACCACAUUCCCUCACCCGCUGGAAGGAGACUGAGUGUUGGCAUUCGGUGAGUGAGUAGAGAGAGUAGAGUGUUUUUAUUAUCCACUUAGUAACCUGACGCUCAGAAGCACCCACAGGCAAAAGUAUGUAGAAUAAAUUCACCAAAUAAUUCA